rnacentral:rRNA from 1 species
UGGUGGAGUGAUUUGUCUGGUUAAUUCCGUUAACGAACGAGACCUUAACCUACUAAAUAGUUACACGAUUCACGAAUCGUGGGCAACUUCUUAGAGGGACUAUCGGUGUAUAACCGGUGGAAGUUUGAGGCAAUAACA